UACGGAGGGUGCAAGCGUUGUCCGGAUUUAUUGGGUUUAAAGGGUGCGUAGGCGGCCCGUUAAGUCAGUGGUGAAAGCCUCCAGCUCAACUGGAGAACUGCCAUUGAUACUGGAUGGCUUGAGAUUGGGAGAGGGAUGCGGAAUUCCAGGUGUAGCGGUGAAAUGCGUAGAUAUCUGGAGGAACACCGGUGGCGAAGGCGGCAUCCUGGACCAACACUGACACUGAGGAGCGAAAGCCAGGGGAGCAAACGGG
rnacentral:rRNA from 1 species